rnacentral:rRNA from 1 species
UGGGGAAUUGUUCACAAUGGGCGCAAGCCUGAUGACGCAACGCCGCGUGGGGGAUGAAGGUCUUCGGAUUGUAAACCCCUGUCGAAUGGGACGAAAGACUCGCGAGUUAAUACUUCGCGGGAGUGACGGUACCGUUAAAGGAAGCCACGGCUAACUCUGUGCCAGCAGCCGCGGUAAUACAGAGGUGGCAAGCGUUGUUCGGAAUUACUGGGCGUAAAGGGCGCGUAGGCGGCCUACUAAGUCAGACGUGAAAUCCCCCGGCUUAACCUGGGAACUGCGUCUGAUACUGGAAGGCUUGAGUAUGGGAGAGGGAUGUAGAAUUCCAGGUGUAGCGGUGAAAUGCGUAGAUAUCUGGAGGAAUACCGGUGGCGAAGGCGGCAUCCUGGACCAUUACUGACGCUGAGACGCGAAAGCGUGGGGAGCAAACAGGAUUAGAUACCCAUGUAGUCCCUGAGCGGGCUGGCAAGGCGCAU